GCUGGCGGCAGGCCUAACACAUGCAAGUCGAGCGGUAGAGAGAAGCUUGCUUCUCUUGAGAGCGGCGGACGGGUGAGUAAUGCCUAGGAAUCUGCCUGGUAGUGGGGGAUAACGUUCGGAAACGGACGCUAAUACCGCAUACGUCCUAUGGGAGAAAGCAGGGGACCUUCGGGCCUUGCGCUAUCAGAUGAGCCUAGGUCGGAUUAGCUAGUUGGUGAGGUAAUGGCUCACCAAGGCGACGAUCCGUAACUGGUCUGAGAGGAUGAUCAGUCACACUGGAACUGAGACACGGUCCAGACUCCUACGGGAGGCAGCAGUGGGGAAUAUUGGACAAUGGGCGAAAGCCUGAUCCAGCCAUGCCGCGUGUGUGAAGAAGGUCUUCGGAUUGUAAAGCACUUUAAGUUGGGAGGAAGGGUUGUAGAUUAAUACUCUGCAAUUUUGACGUUACCGACAGAAUAAGCACCGGCUAACUCUGUGCCAGCAGCCGCGGUAAUACAGAGGGUGCAAGCGUUAAUCGGAAUUACUGGGCGUAAAGCGCGCGUAGGUGGUUUGUUAAGUUGGAUGUGAAAUCCCCGGGCUCAACCUGGGAACUGCAUUCAAAACUGACUGACUAGAGUAUGGUAGAGGGUGGUGGAAUUUCCUGUGUAGCGGUGAAAUGCGUAGAUAUAGGAAGGAACACCAGUGGCGAAGGCGACCACCUGGACUAAUACUGACACUGAGGUGCGAAAGCGU
rnacentral:rRNA from 1 species